rnacentral:tmRNA from 1 species
GGGGGCGAAGUUGGAUUCGACCGGAUGGCGUGAAGUGGGAGUCGCGUGUCGUGGUUGAUCAGCAGGCCACGUUAAAAGCUGAUCACAAUUUUUAUGUGCAGAAGGUAACUUCUCACUGGCUGCCUAGCAUAGGCAACCCCGGUUGCGGGCUUUAGCCGGAGAAUCCCAAAAACCGGUUGCCAAAUCCGGAUCGCUGAGAGUCAUGUCGAGCACGCUCUCAGUUAAAAACCUGUUCUCGUCUAGUUCGAAAUGAACCUGGUCGACAGGGGUCAUUCGGGCGAAACACCAAAGAGUCGACUACACACGUAGAAGCUUUCAUGGAAACAUCGCGGGACGCGGGUUCGAUCCCCGCCGCCUCCACUA